rnacentral:lncRNA from 1 species
CACGGCGGAUCAGUGGCUACAGUGCUCCGCUGCUGACCCGAAAGUCGCGGGAUCGGAUCCCGGCCGCGGCGGCUGCAUUUUCGGUGGAGCCGAAAAUGUUUGAGGCCCGUGUACUUUGAUCUAGGUGCACGCUAAUGAACCCCAGGUGAGCGAAAUGUCCGGAGCCCUCCACUGCGGCGUCUCUCAUAAUCAUAUGGUGGUUUUGGGACGUUAAACACCAGAUAUUAUUAUUAU